rnacentral:rRNA from 1 species
AUGGCUGCUGCUACUGCUCAAGCUCAACCUCGUGUCAUGGUGCUCCCCUUUCCUGCACAGGGCCACGUCAUCCCGCUCAUGGAGCUGUCCCGCAAGCUCGCCGAGCACGGCUUGGAGAUCGACUUCGUGAACACCGAGUUCAACCACGGCCGCGUCCUCCAAACCUUGGAAGAGGACGGAGCAAUCCCAGGAGGAGUUCACAUGCUCUCCAUUCCAGACGGCCUGGGGCCUGGCUACGACCAUACGGACAUCGGCGCGCUGGUCAAGGGACUGCCGGCCGCCAUGUCCGGCCGCCUCGAGGAGAUGAUCAGGUCAAGGAAGACGAAGUGGAUGAUAGUGGACGUGUCCAUGAGCUGGGCGCUGGAGCUGGCCACCACGGCGGGUGUCCGUGUCGCCUUGUUCUCCACGUACUCUGCAGCCGUGUUCACGCUCAGGUUGAAGCUCCCAAAGCUGAUCGAGGACGACGUUCUUAAUGAAAGUGGGAACGUGAAGAGGAACGAGAGGGUCCAACUGAUGCCGCCCGUUGACGCGGCCGAGAUCCCUUGUCAGCCUGGGCAGCAUGCCUGA